rnacentral:rRNA from 1 species
UGCUGGNCCAUCACUGACGCUCAUGGACGAAAGCCAGGGGAGCGAAAGGGAUUAGAUACCCCUGUAGUCCUGGCCGUAAACGAUGAACACUAGGUGUCGGGGGAAUCGACCCCCUCGGUGUCGUAGCCAACGCGUUAAGUGUUCCGCCUGGGGAGUACGCACGCAAGUGUGAAACUCAAAGGAAUUGACGGGGGCCCGCACAAGCGGUGGAGUAUGUGGUUUAAUUCGAUGCAACGCGAAGAACCUUACCAGGGUUUGACAUCCUGCGAAUCUCUUGGAAACAGGAGAGUGCCUUCGGGAACGCAGUGACAGGUGGUGCAUGGCUGUCGUCAGCUCGUGUCGUGAGAUGUUGGGUUAAGUCCCGCAACGAGCGCAACCCACGUCUUUAGUUGCCAGCAUUUAGUUGGGCACUCUAGAGAGACUGCCGGUGAUAAACCGGAGGAAGGUGUGGAUGACGUCAAGUCAUCAUGCCCCUUACAUCCUGGGCUACACACGUACUACAAUGCUACGGACAAAGGGCAGCAAGUUCGCGAGGACAAGCAAAUCCCAUAAACCGUGGCUCAGUUCAGAUCGUAGGCUGCAACUCGCCUACGUGAAGGCGGAAUCGCUAGUAAUCGCAGGUCAGCAUACUGCGGUGAAUACGUUCCCGGGCCUUGUACACACCGCCCGUCACACCAUGGAAGUUGGCCGCGCCCGAAGCCGUUACUCCAACCCUUGUGGAGGAGGACGUCGAAGGUGGGGCUGAUGACUGGGGUGAAGUCGUAACAAGGUAACC